UCAGAACGAACGCUGGCGGCAGGCUUAACACAUGCAAGUCGAGCGCCCCGCAAGGGGAGCGGCAGACGGGUGAGUAACGCGUGGGAAUCUACCCAUCUCUACGGAACAACUCCGGGAAACUGGAGCUAAUACCGUAUACGUCCUUCGGGAGAAAGAUUUAUCGGAGAUGGAUGAGCCCGCGUUGGAUUAGCUAGUUGGUGGGGUAAUGGCCUACCAAGGCGACGAUCCAUAGCUGGUCUGAGAGGAUGAUCAGCCACACUGGGACUGAGACACGGCCCAGACUCCUACGGGAGGCAGCAGUGGGGAAUAUUGGACAAUGGGCGCAAGCCUGAUCCAGCCAUGCCGCGUGAGUGAUGAAGGCCCUAGGGUUGUAAAGCUCUUUCAACGGUGAAGAUAAUGACGGUAACCGUAGAAGAAGCCCCGGCUAACUUCGUGCCAGCAGCCGCGGUAAUACGAAGGGGGCUAGCGUUGUUCGGAAUUACUGGGCGUAAAGCGCACGUAGGCGGAUUGUUAAGUUAGGGGUGAAAUCCCAGGGCUCAACCCUGGAACUGCCUUUAAUACUGGCAAUCUCGAGUCCGAGAGAGGUGAGUGGAAUUCCGAGUGUAGAGGUGAAAUUCGUAGAUAUUCGGAGGAACACCAGUGGCGAAGGCGGCUCACUGGCUCGGUACUGAC
rnacentral:rRNA from 1 species